CCUACGGGAGGCAGCAGUGGGGAAUAUUGCACAAUGGGGGAAACCCUGAUGCAGCGACGCCGCGUGAGUGAAGAAGUAAUUCGUUAUGUAAAGCUCUAUCAGCAGGGAAGAAAAUGACGGUACCUGAGUAAGAAGCCCCGGCUAACUACGUGCCAGCAGCCGCGGUAAUACGUAGGGGGCAAGCGUUAUCCGGAUUUACUGGGUGGAAAGGGAGCGUAGACGGCAGUGCAAGUCUGGAGUGAAAGGCGGGGGCUCAACCCCCGGAAUGCUCUGGAAACUGUACGGCUGGAGUGCAGGAGAGGUAAGUGGAAUUCCUGGUGUAGCGGUGAAAUGCGUAGAUAUUAGGAGGAACACCAGUGGCGAAGGCGGCUUACUGGACUGUAACUGACGUUGAGGCUCGAAAGCGUGGGGAGCAAACAGGAUUAGAUACCCCAGUAGUC
rnacentral:rRNA from 1 species